GAGAGGUGGGCAAUUACCACUCAGGGCCGGAAGCUCUCCAAACUCGGGUCAUUUAGAGGAAGUAAAAGUCGUAACAAGGUCUCCGUAGGUGAACCAGCGAGGGAUCAUUACCGAGUUUACAACUCCCAAACCCCUGUGAACAUACCACUUGUUGCCUCGGCGGAUCAGCCCGCUCCCGGUAAAACGGGACGGCCCGCCAGAGGACCCCUAAACUCUGUUUCUAUAUGUAACUUCUGAGUAAAACCAUAAAUAAAUCAAAACUUUCAACAACGGAUCUCUUGGUUCUGGCAUCGAUGAAGAACGCAGCAAAAUGCGAUAAGUAAUGUGAAUUGCAGAAUUCAGUGAAUCAUCGAAUCUUUGAACGCACAUUGCGCCCGCCAGUAUUCUGGCGGGCAUGCCUGUUCGAGCGUCAUUUCAACCCUCAAGCACAGCUUGGUGUUGGGACUCGCGUUAAUUCGCGUUCCUCAAAUUGAUUGGCGGUCACGUCGAGCUUCCAUAGCGUAGUAGUAAAACCCUCGUUACUGGUUAUCUCGCGGCCACGCCGUUAAACCCCAACUUCUGAAUGUGACCUCUGAUCAGUAGAAUACAAGC
rnacentral:rRNA from 1 species